rnacentral:lncRNA from 10 species
AGAUUCUAUUGGCUUCUGGAGAUUCAGAGACGUCCUUCCUCAAGAAGGAACCUCUGCCUGGCCUUCAGCAGGGCCACUGUCAUGUGCGAUAUUCACUUAGAGCCUUAUCACAUUUGUGGCUGUAGAGGUGUUUGCGUGCCUUGUUUAAUUUAUCCCACUAGACUAUAAGGAAGCUGGGAUUCAGAGAAAUUAAGGGACUUGGUGAAGCAGAGAAUGCCAAGGGAAUUGAUUCAGUAGUGGACGGGGAGUCCCUGAAGACUGUUGAGCAGUGAAGAGACCUGAUCGCAUACUAAAAAAGUACAUGCAAUGGCAAGAAGAUCAACUAAGAGAUUCUGAUCAGCUGAGAAAUAAGAUAAUGAUGCCUGUCAAAUGAGCAACCCUCAGCCUUCCCUCCGUCUACAGCUACAGGGAAUGGGAAGUAGCCAUGAGAAGCCCUGGGGCUGCUGGAUACUCUGCAAGGCCAUCCUCCUGUAACUAAGGUCACUGUAUUGCACUGUCAAAUCCAAACGUAUCUUAGCUGGAAAGACCUGCCCAUCACCUAUCAACCCCUU